GACGAACGCUGGCGGCGUGCUUAACACAUGCAAGUCGAACGGAAAGGCCCUGCUUGUGUGGGGUGCUCGAGUGGCGAACGGGUGUGUAACACGUGAGUAACCUGCCCUUGACUUUGGGAUAACUUCAGGAAACUGGGGCUAAUACCGGAUAGGAGCUCCUGCUGCAUGGUGGGUGUUGGAAAGUUUCGGCGGUUGGGGAUGGACUCGCGGCUUAUCAGCUUGUUGGUGGGGUAGUGGCUUACCAAGGCUUUGACGGGUAGCCGGCCUGAGAGGGUGACCGGCCACAUUGGGACUGAGAUACGGCCCAGACUCCUACGGGAGGCAGCAGUGGGGAAUAUUGCACAAUGGGCGGAAGCCUGAUGCAGCAACGCCGCGUGCGGGAUGACGGCCUUCGGGUUGUAAACCGCUUUCGCCUGUGACGAAGCGUGAGUGACGGUAAUGGGUAAAGAAGCACCGGCUAACUACGUG
rnacentral:rRNA from 1 species